rnacentral:rRNA from 1 species
GAUCCUGGCUUAGGAUGAACGCUAGCUACAGGCUUAACACAUGCAAGUCGAGGGGUAGCAGGGUAGCAAUACCGCUGACGACCGGCGCACGGGUGAGUAACACGUAUCCAACCUUCCCAUAACUCAGGGAUAGCCUUUACGAAAGAAAGAUUAAUACCUGAUAGUACUUUUUCAAGGCAUCUUAGAAAAAGUUAAAGAUUUAUUGGUUAUGGAUCGGGAUGCGUUCCAUUAGAUAGUUGGUGAGGUAACGGCUCACCAAGUCUUCGAUGGAUAGGGGUUCUGAGAGGAAGGUCCCCCACAUUGGUACUGAGACACGGACCAAACUCCUACGGGAGGCAGCAGUGAGGAAUAUUGGUCAAUGGGCGAGAGCCUGAGCCAGCCAAGUAGCGUGAAGGAUGAAGGUCCUAUGGAUUGUAAACUUCUUUUAUAGUAGAAUAAAGUGAUCCACGUGUGGAUUUUUGUAUGUAUACUAUGAAUAAGGAUCGGCUAACUCCGUGCCAGCCGCUGC